UGGGUAACCAAUCGUUUUGUCAAAAUCGUACUGCAAAGAGAGGCACCGCUCAGCGCUCACGUCCUGGCGCUAGGGUUUCCUCGCGGCGGCCCAGGUUCUCACAUCGAUGGGAUUGCGCCCGGAAGCCUGAAUCCAUUCUCCGAUGGAUUAUGUGCUGAUAAGAGAGAUGUAGCGGAGGAUGGGGUGUAUUUGCUGGACUCAAGCCGAUCUCACAGCCGCCGAGUAAGUGCAGGCUGCCGCGGAUUGGAGGUAAAAUGAUUUCUGCUCCAUUCAUCAAGUGUUAAAUUCAUCACUGAACCAGGAUGAUUUGAGUGGUCUUUUCGGUUGCUUGGAAGGAAUCUCAGUCAUCUAACCACAAGAUUUGAAAUUUCAGAGUAUAUCUGUCCAGAAGAAUGAUGCUUACAAAUUUAGCUUUUAGUGUUUCUGGAAUGCCAUUCUAUUUCUGUAAGAUACAAUACCAGCAGUUUGUCCUUAGUUCAGCAAGUUUCUGAGACUGAUAAUCUCCAAGAGAUCUUUCACAGAGUUCUAAUUCAAGGAGAGGUGGCACACCCCAUAUUUAAGAAGAUUUGGAAAUCAGCAGUGAUUCAGCGAUACCAAAUUUUACUGUUGGUUUCUGAUCCAAGAUAGGCUCAGCACAAGAAGUCUGCUUCUCAGGAAAUCAUUUCACCUCCCCUCCUACCAAUGUGUGCUAUGUAAUGAGCAAAUUGAGACCACAUUGCACCUCUUUUUGGACUGCUCAUUUGCUCUACAAUGCUGGCACCUGAUCACUCCUAAUAAGAAGAGGGACAGAUCUGUCAUUCAGGAAAUCAUGCUGGCUUUGAAUGAAUUACCAAAUGGAGUGGCCAUGAACAUUGUCAUUAUGAGUUGCUGGCAUAUUUGGAUGCAAGGGAACAACAAGAUCUUUAAGCAUAUUAAUCCAAUCACCACAUAAUGGAAGCUGCUACGCAAGAAAGAUUUACAGUUGCUACAUCAUAGAAUUAGGCACUAGCUCCUUCAAGUUUUUCAAGACUGCAUUGCCACACGUUUGUACUCCGAAAGAUCCUUGAGUUAGAUGGGCUUGCCAUCUCCUUUCUUUUUGAUCCCUUUUGUACAUACACUUUUAAUUGCUUUUAAUGAAAAUUACAAUCGAACAAUUGGUAUA